rnacentral:rRNA from 1 species
UUUGACUGCCAUAGCGUUGUGGAACCACCUGAUCCCAUGCCGAACUCAGAAGUGAAACGCGACCGCGCCGAUGAUAGUGUGGCAGCUGCCAUGUGAAAGUAGGUCACAGUCAAAC